UCAGGAUGAACGCUGGCGGCGUGCUUAACACAUGCAAGUCGAACGAAGCUCCCAAACCUGAGAUUCGUCAAGGGUGAGGGAUGACUUAGUGGCGGACGGGUGAGUAAUGCGUGAGCAACCUGCCCUUCAGAGGGGGACAACAGUUGGAAACGACUGCUAAUACCGCAUAAUGUAUCGAGAAGGCAUCUUCAUGAUACCAAAGAUUUAUCGCUGAAGGAUGGGCUCACGUCUGAUUAGCUAGUUGGUGAGGUAAUGGCUCACCAAGGCUGCGAUCAGUAGCCGGACUGAGAGGUUGACCGGCCACAUUGGGACUGAGAUACGGCCCAGACUCCUACGGGAAGCAGCAGUGGGGGGAAUAUUGGGCAAUGGGCGCAAAGCCUGACCCAGCAACGCCGCGUGAAGGAAGAAGGCUUUCGGGUUGUAAACUUCUUUUGGCAGGGACGAAGAAAGUGACGGUACCUGCAGAAUAAGCUCCGGCUAACUACGUGCCAGCCGCCGC
rnacentral:rRNA from 1 species